rnacentral:rRNA from 1 species
GACGAACCGUACGAACGUUAUUCGGAAUUACUGGGCUUAAAGGGUGCGUAGGCUGUGCGGAAAGUUGGGCGUGAAAUACCUCAGCUUAACUGAGGAACUGCGUUCAAAACUACCGUGCUUGAGGGAGACAGAGGUAAGCGGAACUGAGGGUGGAGCGGUGAAAUGCGUUGAUAUCCUCAGGAACACCGGUGGCGAAAGCGGCUUACUGGGUCUCUUCUGACGCUGAUGCACGAAAGCUAGGGUAGCAAACGGA